rnacentral:rRNA from 1 species
GGGGAAUUUUGGACAAUGGGCGCAAGCCUGAUCCAGCCAUGCCGCGUGUCUGAAGAAGGCCUUCGGGUUGUAAAGGACUUUUGUCAGGGAAGAAAAGGCUGCUGCUAAUAUCGACAGCUGAUGACGGUACCUGAAGAAUAAGCACCGGCUAACUACGUGCCAGCAGCCGCGGUAAUACGUAGGGUGCGAGCGUUAAUCGGAAUUACUGGGCGUAAAGCGAGCGCAGACGGUUACUUAAGCAGGAUGUGAAAUCCCCGGGCUCAACCUGGGAACUGCGUUCUGAACUGGGUGACUAGAGUGUGUCAGAGGGAGGUAGAAUUCCACGUGUAGCAGUGAAAUGCGUAGAGAUGUGGAGGAAUACCGAUGGCGAAGGCAGCCUCCUGGGAUGACACUGACGUUCAUGCUCGAAAGCGUGGGUAGCAAACAGGAUUAGAUACCCUGGUAGUCCACGCCCUAAACGAUGUCAAUUAGCUGUUGGGCAACUUGAUUGCUUAGUAGCGUAGCUAACGCGUGAAAUUGACCGCCUGGGGAGUACGGUCGCAAGAUUA